UUGGUGGUAUUAUGCCCUUGUUGAUGGGUCAACAUCCAUGCCUUGUCGAUCACCUAAUGUCAUUGCCACACCAAGAUUCCUUUCCAUAAUCAGAGAGCUUCAUGGAGGAGGACCUCAAUCUCCCUUGUUCAAACCCAUGGAACAGUUGAUGAUCUUUGCAGCUCCUUAGGGUGGUGCCUUCUUCCCUCCCUAGGGUUCCUUAUUCCUCUAUUAACUAGCUCUUGCAAUUGAAUUAGGUGUACCAAAUUGUAUCAUCAACCAGUAGAUCGCUAUGCACGGACUAAAUUGUGUAUUUUAUGAUGCACCCAUCACUUUCAGGUAGCAUGCUUUGCAACUUGUUCUUUUGACA
rnacentral:lncRNA from 1 species